rnacentral:rRNA from 1 species
GACGAACGCUGGCGGCGUGCUUAACACAUGCAAGUCGAACGGAAAGGCCCUGCUUUUGUGGGGUGCUCGAGUGGCGAACGGGUGCGUAACACGCGAGUAACCUGCCCUUGCCUUUGGGAUAACUUCAGGGAACUGGGGCUAAUAUCGGAUAGGAGCUCUUGCUGCAUGGUGGGGGUUGGAUAGUUUCGGCGGUUGGGGAUGGACUCGCGGCUUACCAGCUUGUUGGUGGGGUAGUGGCUUACCAAGGUUUUGACGGGUAGCCGACCUGAGAGGGUGACCGGCCACAUUGGUACUGAGAUACGGCCCAGACUCCUACGGGAGGCAGCAGUGGGGAAUAUUGCACAAUGAGCGGAAGCCUGAUGCAGCAACGCCGCGUGCGGGAUGACGGCCUUCGGGUGGUAAACCACUUUCGCCUGUGACGAAGCGGGAGUGACGGUAAUGAGUAAGGAAGCACCGGCUAACUACGUG